rnacentral:rRNA from 1 species
AUAGUGCAGCUCUAAGUUGGUGGUUAACUCCAUCUAAGGCUAAAUAUGACCACGAUACCGAUAGCGAACAAGUACCGUGAGAGAAAGUUGAAAAGAACUUUGAAGAGAAAGUUGAAAAGUACGUAAAACCGUUCAGGGGUAAACUUGAGAAACCCAAAAGAUCGAAUAGGGAGAUUCAUCAUCAGCGACGUUGGCUUCCGUGUGUUAC